rnacentral:rRNA from 1 species
UUUUGGACAAUGGGCGCAAGCCUGGUCCAGCAAUGCCGCGUGCAGGAAGAAGGCCUUCGGGUUGUAAACUGCUUUUGUCAGGGAAGAAAUCUUCUGGGUUAAUACCUCGGGAGGAUGACGGUACCUGAAGAAUAAGCACCGGCUAACUACGUGCCAGCAGCCGCGGUAAUACGUAGGGUGCGAGCGUUAAUCGGAAUUACUGGGCGUAAAGCGUGCGCAGGCGGCUUUGCAAGACAGAUGUGAAAUCCCCGGGCUCAACCUGGGAACUGCAUUUGUGACUGCAAGGCUAGAGUACGGCAGAGGGGGAUGGAAUUCCGCGUGUAGCAGUGAAAUGCGUAGAUAUGUGGAGGAAUACCAAUGGCGAAGGCAGCCCCCUGGGAUAACACUGACGCUCAUGCACGAAA